AUUGAACGCUGGCGGCAGGCCUAACACAUGCAAGUCGAACGGUAACAGGAAGAAGCUUGCUUCUUUGCUGACGAGUGGCGGACGGGUGAGUAAUGUCUGGGAAACUGCCUGAUGGAGGGGGAUAACUACUGGAAACGGUAGCUAAUACCGCAUAACGUCGCAAGACCAAAGAGGGGGACCUUCGGGCCUCUUGCCAUCGGAUGUGCCCAGAUGGGAUUAGCUAGUAGGUGGGGUAACGGCUCACCUAGGCGACGAUCCCUAGCUGGUCUGAGAGGAUGACCAGCCACACUGGAACUGAGACACGGUCCAGACUCCUACGGGAGGCAGCAGUGGGGAAUAUUGCACAAUGGGCGCAAGCCUGAUGCAGCCAUGCCGCGUGUAUGAAGAAGGCCUUCGGGUUGUAAAGUACUUUCAGCGGGGAGGAAGGGAGUAAAGUUAAUACCUUUGCUCAUUGACGUUACCCGCAGAAGAAGCACCGGCUAACUCCGUGCCAGCAGCCGCGGUAAUGCGGAGGGUGCAAGCGUUAAUCGGAAUUACUGGGCGUAAAGCGCACGCAGGCGGUUUGUUAAGUCAGAUGUGAAAUCCCCGGGCUCAACCUGGGAACUGCAUCUGAUACUGGCAAGCUUGAGUCUCGUAGAGGGGGGUAGAAUUCCAGGUGUAGCGGUGAAAUGCGUAGAGAUCUGGAGGAAUACCGGUGGCGAAGGCGGCCCCUGGACGAAGACUGACGCUCAGGUGCGAAAGCGUGGGGAGCAAACAGGAUUAGAUACCCUGGUAGUCCACGCCGUAAACGAUGUCGACUUGGAGGUUGUGCCCUUGAGGCGUGGCUUCCGGAGCUAACGCGUUAAGUCGACCGCCUGGGGAGUACGGCCGCAAGGUUAAAACUCAAAUGAAUUGACGGGGGCCCGCACAAGCGGUGGAGCAUGUGGUUUAAUUCGAUGCAACGCGAAGAACCUUACCUGGUCUUGACAUCCACGGAAGUUUUCAGAGAUGAGAAUGUGCCUUCGGGAACCGUGAGACAGGUGCUGCAUGGCUGUCGUCAGCUCGUGUUGUGAAAUGUUGGGUUAAGUCCCGCAACGAGCGCAACCCUUAUCCUUUGUUGCCAGCGGUCCGGCCGGGAACUCAAAGGAGACUGUUAGUGAUAAACUGGAGGAAGGUGGGGAUGACGUCAAGUCAUCAUGGCCCUUACGACCAGGGCUACACACGUGCUACAAUGGCGCAUACAAAGAGAAGCGACCUCGCGAGAGCAAGCGGACCUCAUAAAGUGCGUCGUAGUCCGGAUUGGAGUCUGCAACUCGACUCCAUGAAGUCGGAAUCGCUAGUAAUCGUGGAUCAGAAUGCCACGGUGAAUACGUUCCCGGGCCU
rnacentral:rRNA from 1 species